rnacentral:misc_RNA from 1 species
UAUUUGGAAAUGAUAGCUUGUCCUUCUCACGAGUUAUAAUUACAUAAUAGAUCAAACGAGCUCUUUUAAACUGCCAGAACAGCUACUUUGAUCAGUGGACCUUGCCAACACCAUAUGAACAUAGGAUCAAUGAUAAAAUUCAGUUGAGAGAACCAUUCUACGGUUUCUUAGGUGGUAAGUAGUAUGUUUGUGAAAGAAAAUAACUAUAAAUUCCAAGAAGAAGAAUGAAAAUUCCUAAUAAGUUCCUUCCAAAGAAAUCGGUACUCGGUAGUUUCCCCAAUACACAUGUAACCCAGAUACGCUAACCUAAAGCUGCAUUAGAACUCAAAAAUCAUACUUAGUUCUGCCACUCAUUAGAAUAAGGCACAACAUAUCAGAGAUGUCAGAAGCAGAACUGAAGAAGUUCCAAGACUCGAGCAUUAAGCGUUUCCUUGAUCCUUUAAAAUGCACCACCUGCGUACAGGAAAUGAAGCAGGUUACAAAGUGAAAAUCCAUGCUUUGGUAAAUGAAAGGGAUUUAAAUCUCAGUAACUGAUCAAGGACAUCCUGAGAAGUUUUUAACUAUUAUUACACCUUCACAUCCAAAGGCAUUCCCCGAAAUUGGCCAGCCCCCUCAGGUGGUGUCCAAUUGUAUGUAGCACAUGGUAGGAAUAGCACUGAUGCACCAUCAAUUUCUUCUAUAAAGGCCUGUGCCUUGCUAAAUCUCCGCAAAUCAAAAUUAGGCUGAGAUUUUAUGACCCAAGCUAGAGCUAACUGGUCCCCAAGCAUCCGAGAAGCAUUCGUGUACUUCAAAGUAUAGACUUCAAGCACGUCUUGAAGGAAGAUUUUUGCCGGAGAAAUAAGAAGCCAUCCGCAAGAAGACUUCAUCUAAAACCCUACCCCGGUUGACCCAUUUGAUGCUUAAAAUUGACUCAGGGGUCCCCCUUACAGCUAUAAAUCCAGAAUUUAAAGGUUGCUCCCUGUUGUUCCGGAAGGUGAGGGCCAAAUGAAAUUUUGGGAACUUUUGAAAAAUGUGUUCUAAGUCAUCAACCACAGCUAUAUCUGAAUCGGUGAAGAUGUAAUGACUUGUAUGCCCUGGGUUCUGAGCAAGUUCCUUCAGCCUUGUGUUUAGAAAAGCCUAUAUAGGCAACACAGAAAUUGAACAAUAGAAGUUGAAAUAGAAGACAGAUAUGCAGUUCUUAAUAAUUGAAUAGGACACAAAAGUGAGGGAUCAACAAUUUAAAGAAAAAAAUGCAAUCAGAACCAAUAUAUCAAGGAGAAAAACAGAACAAAAACACUUUGAUGAAUCUCAUUUUGGGCUUGGUGGUUAAGAAGCAAGGCAAAAUUGUGCAAAAUAUCGAGCACGAUAAAACCAACAGGAAGAACAAACUCAAGAAAUAUGCUUUAAGAAACAGAGGGAUUACUCAAAAACAGAAACAAUCUACCUAUUUAUCAAUUUGUUGUUCUCUUACAAUGUAAGAUCUUAUUCUUUGAAGCAUCAACUUAUCUCGAUUAUAUUCACCCUGAAUCGGAUACAAAGUGACUUUAUUUCUUUGCAGUGAGAGAUCAGAUUCUGGAUCAGCAAGAAUGAUAACAUUGCUCUGAGGCAUUGUCACCUCAAUAAAAUUAAUGAAGACAUUCAAAAUGGCCAUUGACCUCUCUGUCUUAGUGUAUGAAACAUUCCCAACAGUAACAAGAUUUGAUGAUUUACUGUCAGCAUGUGAAUCCAAUGAAGUGUUGUAAAUGGUAAACAUGGUGACAAAAACAAUUCUAUCUCCAACAUUAGAGGCACUGGGAGAGGUUAGCAAAUGGGUCUUGUUGAGAGCUUUAGAGCCUUGGCAUUGCAAUCGAUUAGGCAAGCCUUGCCCGGCAGCAGGACCAAGAAGCAGAUGAUCAGACUUUUUAUUUCGUUUAUUGGGGCCACCUUCUAUAACGGAGUUGGGAUGAAAUUCGACAACUGCGAAACAGCAAAAAUUAACUUCGAGUACCCAAUAAUAAAGGAACAAAACACUGCCACAAAACGAUGAGAACUAGAGAGAGGACAUUCACCGGAGAAGAUAUGGAAAAUGACAAGUAGCAGAGAGAGACAAAGGAGCCAUCUACCGUAAAAUCUCAUGCCUAAACUAAUCUUUCUAAGGAUUUUACAGCUCAACAACCAUCGCCAACACAUACCACUGCUAACGACCUAACUUCUCGUGCUCUAUCCUUGAGCGAAGAUUAUACCAACAAUCAACUAAUUCUAUACGCAUAAAUGAUAAAACCCUGCAAAUCCACCAAACAGGAAAAGAGAAAAGGAUUUUUAGCAGAAUAAAGAGAUUGAGAUUUCAGAUCCGACCGAAUUUUGAUGACAAUAUUAACGACGUGUCGUUUCUACCUCUCGUUUUG